rnacentral:ncRNA from 2 species
GACAGGCAAUCUGGAGAGUGCCGACAUGGAGUCGGCCACCGAAGGGGCACACGGACAAAAAUCCGUAAUCUCUCAGGUAAAAGGGACAGAGGGGUGAAG